UACGUAGGGUGCAAGCGUUGUCCGGAAUUAUUGGGCGUAAAGAGCUCGUAGGCGGUUUGUCGCGUCUGCUGUGAAAACUCAGGGCUUAACCCUGAGCCUGCAGUGGGUACGGGCAGACUAGAGUGUGGUAGGGGAGAUCGGAAUUCCUGGUGUAGCGGUGGAAUGCGCAGAUAUCAGGAGGAACACCAAUGGCGAAGGCAGCUCGCUGGAACGGAACUGACGCUGAGGCGCGAAAGCGUGGGGAGCGAACAGG
rnacentral:rRNA from 1 species